GAACGCUGGCGGCGUGCCUAACACAUGCAAGUCGCGCGGGAAAGUUCCCUUCGGGGAGCGAGUAUAGCGGCGCACGGGUGAGUAAUACGUAGGUAACCUGCCCUCGAGACCGGGACAACCUGUCGAAAGACGGGCUAAUACCGGAUAAGACCACGAGAGCUGCGGCUCUUGGGGUAAAAGGUGGCCUCUGCUUGCAAGCUAUCACUUGAGGAUGGGCCUGCGCGCCAUUAGCUAGUUGGUGAGGUAACGGCUCACCAAGGCAGAGAUGGCUAGCUGGUCUGAGAGGAUGACCAGCCACACUGGGACUGAGACACGGCCCAGACUCCUACGGGAGGCAGCAGUGGGGAAUAUUGCGCAAUGGGCGAAAGCCUGACGCAGCGACGCCGCGUGGGUGAUGAAGGCCUUCGGGUCGUAAAGCCCUGUCGGGAGGGACGAAACAUCGGCGACUUAAUACGUCGUCGACCUGACGGUACCUCCUAAGGAAGCACCGGCUAACUCCGUGCCAGCAGCCGCGGUAA
rnacentral:rRNA from 1 species